rfam:Cavia porcellus supercont2_72 genomic scaffold, whole genome shotgun sequence.
GGGGAUUUAGCUUAGUGGCAUAAGCGCCAGCCUUGCAAGCAGGCAGUUGUGAGUCCAAUCCCUG